CACCUAUAAUUUACUUGAUCUUGACACAAUCCUACUUGGAUAACUGUGGUAAUUCUAGAGCUAAUACAUGCAUUAAAGCUCUGACCUCACGGGAAGAGUGCAUUUAUUAGAACAAAACCAAGCGGCUUCGGCUGUUUCUGGUUGACUCAUAGUAACUGAGCUGAUCGCAUGGUCUUGCACCGGCGACGUGUCUUUCAAGUAUCUGCCGUAUCAACUUUCGAUGGUAGUGUAUCUGACUACCAUGGCGAUCACGCGUAACGGAGAAUAAGGGUUCGGCUCCGGAGAGUUCGCCUGAGAAAUCGCGAACACAUCUAAGGAAGGCAGCAGGCGCGAAAAUUACCCACUCUCAGCACGAGGAGGUAGUGACGAAAAAUAACGAGACCGUUCUCUUAUGAGGCCGGUCAUCGGAAUGGGUACAAUUUAAACCCUUUAACGAGUAUCUAUGAGAGGGCAAGUCUGGUGCCAGCAGCCGCGGUAAUUCCAG
rnacentral:rRNA from 1 species